rnacentral:misc_RNA from 1 species
GCGGUGUUUUCAUUGCCCUGUUAUGGUUUACUGACAGUCUUGUAGUGAGUGAGGUAAUACUUUGUAGGUAACUUGGCACUCGAGGCCAAAAAGUUAUUUGGAAAAGCACUCACCACCAUCGCAAAAAAAAAAAAAAAAAAAAAAUCCUAACAAACAACAAAACAAUAAAACGAACACCCCAACGCCCCCCCCCCCCCCCCCCCCGAUAAAAACAAAACAAAACAACAUCUGAAUUACAUUCACGAAAACACGUGCUUUCUAACGUAAAACUAUAACGAUUUAUUAGAUUCCAAUGAAAUGAUUUUAAAGACUACACACUAUACUCAGGGCUCGACGUUAGUGGUAGCCUGGGCUCUUUUGGCUACCAAUAUCUCCCCCGGAAACCGGAAACAACAAAAGCAGUGGAAGCACUACUGAUGCUAAAUAAAACGAACAUUGAACAGUUAAAUUAUCUAUUUCGCAACGCUCAUGCCAUCACCAAAUAUGCCAGGCCGUUUACCGAUUACGUUUGGCAGUGUAAACUGGACACGAUGAAAGCUUUUAAGAUCAACGGGGCAUAUCUGACAGAUAAAUAUUGUAAAACAUUUUCACGAUUCAUAUCGGAGGCUGAACGUAUCAACGUUGAACAUGAAGUGAAAUCAGCGCCAUUCAUGUCACUCCUGUGCGACGGAACAACCGACACUUCAGUUACAGAAGCAGAGAUCGUCUACGUUCGGUAUGCUAGUAAAGGGAAAGUGAACACAAAGUUCAUCAGUGUUGAAAACCUUGCUGCUGAAAGAGCCAUUGCAGAGACCAUAGAGAAAGUACUAUUCACGAGUUGUGAAAAACAGUUGAAACUCUUUGAAGGUCAGGUUGUUUCGAAGCUUAUUGGAUUUGGAAGUGAUGGGGCCUUUGUAAUGCAAGGUGUUAAAAAUGGAGUGGCAGCUAGAUUGAAAGUGAAACAACCAGCUUUUGUAGCUAUCCACUGUUUCGCACAUAGACUGUAAUUGGCUUUUAAAGAUAUGCUGAAAAAGGUUCCAUAUCACAGUAAAUUCUUGGAGGUGAUCGAAGGGUUGUAUUUAUUCUUCCACUACAUUACGCUGAACAGGAGCAACUUAAAUCGUACAGCCGAGUCAUUGAAUGUAAAAUGCCUAGCCCCAUCCCGAGCCGGAGGAACAAGAUGGAUGCCAUACACCAAAAAAACAACACUAGAACGAAUCUGGAAGAUGCACGCUGUUUUCAUCUUGUUGUUUGGUCAGAUGCAGCAAGACAGUCAAACAUCUGGCAAAAUUAAAAACAAGGCUUUGUUUUUCUUGAAAAAUCUACGAACAAAGCACUUCAUAACAUAUGGCCAUCACCUGACAGAUAUCAUCAACAUCUUGAGUACAGUGUCCCUCACCUUUCAAGCAACAAAGUGCUCAGUGUCGGAGAUCCAUGAAAGCGUCCAAAGUACUGUCUCUGUCCUUACCAGACUUAAAGGAAGACCAGGACCCAAGCUUCAGAAAGUACUCGAUAUUGACAGUUUUCAAGGCGAGAUGCUUACAGGUCAAGUAAUCUCAGAGAAAGAAAGGGUGCUGGUGGUGGACAGUCUUUUGGAGAGCCUUGACCAUCGUUAGGAAACAUGGUCACAAGUGAUGGUCUCCAGUCCGUCAAUGUCAUCAAAUGUCUUCCUUUUAGCCAAAAACAUUGACUUGAAGUCCAGCCAUUCUGAUAAGGUUUCGGAGAAGAUCACGUGAAAACACUAGUGGAACAUUACUAUGAUCAGCUGACCAUGCAUGCUUCACUUGAUGACAUCCACCCUGAAUGGAUGCUUUUGAAGGAUGGUGUAUACAGCAGGUAUAUAACCACAGAAAGGACCCAAAAGCUAAGCUGGAUUCUAGUGAACCUCCACCAUGGGGAGAAGUUUUCUAAUGUCUUGACCCUUGUGGACCUGCUGUUGACGAUCCCAGCUCACAGUUCCGACUGUGAGAGAGGUUUCUCUCACAUGAAGAAGAUCAAAUCCGACUGGAGGAGUUCUCUGUCACCAGACUCUGUAACUGACCCAAUGAGAAUUACCCUGCUAUCACCACCAGUGGAGGAGUAUGACCCAACAGCAGCCAUGGAUUUGUGGUUCAUGGGGUAGGAGAGAGGAGCAGACGGCCAUAUGUCAGUGUUACACAGCAGGAAUCUUCCGACAGUGACAGUGACACUAACACUGAUAGUGACUAAUCACACAGACUGAGAGUGACUUUUACAUGUUCUUGUAAAUGUUUUCAUAAAUGUAUACCGGCCUCGGUGGCGUCGUGGCAGGCCAUCGGUCUACAGGCUGGUAGGUACUGGGUUCGGAUUCCAGUCAAGGCAUGGGAUUUUGAAUCAAGAUACCCACUCCAAACCCUGAGUGAG